rnacentral:rRNA from 1 species
GGGGGUGUACCUGCGGAAGGAUCAUUA